CUGGAAAAUUAAUUUCUGAACUUGGCAAUUAGUGCACUGAAUUACAGCAGAGAUGCUUUAUUGUGGUUGCGUUGAUACCGUGAGAGCUAGGUGGGUAGCUACCAUGAGGACACUGUAUCUCUGUGCCUUCAAACCCCAAGGCUGAGUCAACUGAGGAUAGUGUCCCAGUCUUUGAACCCUUGCCCUAAAUGGAAUUUGUUUCUUCUGAAGUACUUUUAUUAACUCUUCAUUUACCUCUUUUUUCCAGAAUCCAGUAAGGCAAUUUCUUACUCCACAAACGCGGGUGGCCCUGAUAUAUGCACUGGCAAAACCUGUCUCUCGAGUUUUCCUGUUGGUUCCAGCAGGAUGUUGGGGAUCCCAGCUUUCAACCAAAUGCAGUACCCACAGACAUCCCCUGUGUCUUGUGGUUGUCACCCAGCAUUAAAGAAAACCCAGAAAUUAAUGGAAGGGCUGACUGUAAUGCAAAAUAGCUGAACCUGAGUCGUUAACAAAGGACAUCAGAGUCCAGGGGUCUGCAUGACCUGGUGGGACCGAUUACCUAGGAGCUCGCUUGCUCUGCUCAUGCCUGAGUGAGUCAUAUACCUUUGAAUUACUUGUGAUCAUUGGAUUUGCUGUGGUGUUUUUAGACUUGGAUGUCAUUAAAAAGUAGAGAGAGGCAGACCUAGAACUGGCUUGAUCAAAAAGUAACAAACAUCGAUAGAAUGAUUAUAUUAAAAACAAGAUAUUUUAAAUAAUUAUAUAGUAGCUUGCUUUUAUAUAGAGUAGAA
rnacentral:lncRNA from 1 species